UACGUAGGGCGCAAGCGUUAUCCGGAAUUACUGGGCGUAAAGUGUGCGCAGGCGGCCGAGCAAGUCGAGUGUGAAAGCCCCGGGCUUAACUUGGGAAUUGCGCUCGAAACUACGUGGCUCGAGUGUGGCAGAGGAAGGUGGAAUUCCACGUGUAGCGGUGAAAUGCGUAGAGAUGUGGAGGAACACCGAUGGCGAAGGCAGCCUUCUGGGCCAACACUGACGCUCAUGCACGAAAGCGUGGGGAGCAAACAGG
rnacentral:rRNA from 1 species